GCCCCAGACUCCUACGGGAGGCAGCAGUGGGGAAUAUUGCACAAUGGGGGGAACCCUGAUGCAGCGACGCCGCGUGGGUGAAGGGGCACCUCGGUGCGUAAAGCCCUAUCGGCAGGGAAGAAACAGACGGUACCUGACUAAGAAGCCCCGGCUAACUACGUGCCAGCAGCCGCGGUAAUACGUAGGGGGCAAGCGUUAUCCGGAUUCACUGGGUGUAAAGGGAGCGUAGACGGCGACGCAAGUCUGGAGUGAAAGCCCGGGGCCCAACCCCGGGACUGCAUUGGGAACUACCGGGCUGGAGUGCCGGAGAGGUAGGCGGAAUUCCUAGUGUAGCGGUGAAAUGCGUAGAUAUUAGGAGGAACACCAGUGGCGAAGGCGGCCUACUGGACGGUGACUGACGCUGAGGCUCGAAAGCGUGGGGAGCAAACAGGAUUAGAUACCCGAGUACG
rnacentral:rRNA from 1 species